rnacentral:rRNA from 1 species
AGUGAACGCUGGCGGUAGGCCUAACACAUGCCAGUCGAACGGCAGCACAGUAAGAGCUUGCUCUUACGGGUGGCGAGUGGCGGACGGGUGAGGAAUACAUCGGAAUCUACUUUUUCGUGGGGGAUAACGUAGGGAAACUUACGCUAAUACCGCAUACGACCUACGGGUGAAAGCAGGGGAUCUUCGGACCUUGCGCGAUUGAAUGAGCCGAUGUCGGAUUAGCUAGUUGGCGGGGUAAAGGCCCACCAAGGCGACGAUCCGUAGCUGGUCUGAGAGGAUGAUCAGCCACACUGGAACUGAGACACGGUCCAGACUCCUACGGGAGGCAGCAGUGGGGAAUAUUGGACAAUGGGCGCAAGCCUGAUCCAGCCAUACCGCGUGAGUGAAGAAGGCCUUCGGGUUGUAAAGCCCUUUUGUUGGGAAAGAAAAGCAGCAUGUGAAUACCCCGCUGUUCUGACGGUACCCAAAGAAUAAGCACCGGCUAACUUCGUG